rnacentral:rRNA from 1 species
GACGAACGCUGGCGGCGUGCUUAACACAUGCAAGUCGAACGGAAAGGCCCUGCUUUUGUGGGGUGCUCGAGUGGCGAACGGGUGAGUAACACGUGAGUAACCUGCCCUUGACGUUGGGAUAACUUCAGGAAACUGGGGCUAAUACCGGAUAGGAGCUCCUGCUGCAUGGUGGGGGUUGGAAAGUUUCGGCGGUUGGGGAUGGACUCGCGGCUUAUCAGCUUGUUGGUGGGGUAGUGGCUUACCAAGGCUUUGACGGGUAGCCGGCCUGAGAGGGUGACCGGCCCCAUUGGGACUGAGGUACGGACCAGACUGCUACGGGAGGCAGCAGUGGGGAAUAUUGCACAAUGGGGGGAAGCCUGAUGCAGAAACGCCGCGUGCGGGAUGACGGCCUUCGGGUUGUAAACCGCUUUCGCCUGUGACGAAGCGUGAGUGACGGUAAUGGGUAAAGAAGCACCGGCUAACUACGUG